AGAGUUUGAUUCCUGGCUCAGAGCGAACGCUGGCGGCAGGCUUAACACAUGCAAGUCGAGCGGACCUUUCGGGGUCAGCGGCGGACGGGUGAGUAACGCGUGGGAACGUGCCUUCCGGUUCGGAAUAACCCUGGGAAACUAGGGCUAAUACCGGAUACGCCCUUAUGGGGAAAGGUUUACUGCCGGAAGAUCGGCCCGCGUCUGAUUAGCUAGUUGGUGGGGUAACGGCCUACCAAGGCGACGAUCAGUAGCUGGUCUGAGAGGAUGAUCAGCCACACUGGGACUGAGACACGGCCCAGACUCCUACGGGAGGCAGCAGUGGGGAAUAUUGGACAAUGGGCGCAAGCCUGAUCCAGCCAUGCCGCGUGAGUGAUGAAGGCCUUAGGGUUGUAAAGCUCUUUUAUUCCGGGACGAGAAUGACGUACCGG
rnacentral:rRNA from 1 species